CCUUGUGCACUUGGUUAAGGUUCUGAAGUCUUUGAAGCUCUGAAAUGUGGCAGGUGGUCUAUCAGGGGUUUUCAGCUGCUUUUGACAAAACUGAGAAGUGAAAAGUUAACAGUCAAAGUUCUGGUGAUGUCAGAUCACUGCUCUGAGACUAGUGGUGUUCCACUCCCCCAAAUCUGAUGCUAUUGGGCAUUCUUAACUCUUCCAAGUUUCUAAAUAAAUUCACUGAAUAAUCCAGAGGCUAGAAUUUAGAGCUCUUAUCUCAGAACUACUGAGUCUUGAUGGUGUUUGCUUAUAACUUUUUUUCUUACCACACCCCGGGGCUCUUGGGAGGAGCUAAGAGCCAGCAGCGGUGCCAGGAUGCUGCCUGUGUUCGUGCCUAUGUUCAGCUGCCUCCUGGGUCCCGUCACAUCCUUCUUGCUCAACCACAGGGUGCACAGGAUGGAAACUGCUUUCUCCUCUUUAGACGACAGCGUGGAGUGUAGCUUCAUAGAGUUGUGGCUUGAGAUCGAAGCAGUGGUUGCUUUCUCAGGCUCUCUGUAGCCACCCUGUGUUGGGGGAAAGGAGAGUACUUAAUGGCCCACAGGCGCAGGAAGAUGGAAGGACAAGGGGUAGGCCGGGUGCUCAGGAUCCUCCGGAACCAGCUGCCACGACUCCGAGCAGGACCUUCCCAGAACAAUCCAAGGGAAGCUGUAAAAGAACCAGAAAGCUCCCAGGAGCACGCUCUUCCCAGCUUUGCUGGAGGGCCACACUUCUUUGAAUAUCUUGUGGUGGUUUCUCUCAAAAAGAAGCGUUCAGGGGAUGACUAUGAACCCACCAUCACCUACCAGUUCCCCAAGCGAGAGAACCUACUUAGGGGCCAGCAGGAGGAAGAGGAGAGGUUGCUGAGUGCCAUUCCCUUGUUCUGCUUCCCAGAUGGAAAUGAGUGGGCAUCUCUCACGGAGUAUCACAGGGAGACCUUCUCUUUCGUCCUGACCAAUGUGGAUGGGAGCAGGAAGAUUGGAUACUGCAGGCGCCUUUUGCCUGCUGGCUCUGGUCCUCGCCUUCCGAAAGUGUACUGUAUCAUCAGUUGCAUUGGCUGCUUCGGCUUGUUCUCCAAGAUCCUGGAUGAAGUGGAGAAGAGGCAUCAGAUUUCCAUGGCUGUCAUCUACCCGUUCAUGCAAGGCCUCCGAGAGGCAGCCUUCCCUGCUCCUGGGAAGACUGUCACCCUCAAGAGCUUCAUCCCUGACUCAGGCACAGAGUUCAUUUCUCUGACACGGCCCCUGGACUCUCACCUCGAACAUGUGGAUUUUAAUUCUCUGUUACAAUGUCUCAGCUUUGAACAGAUUAUUCAGAUCUUUGCCUCUGCAGUACUGGAAAGAAAAAUCAUCUUCCUGGCAGAAGGUCUCAGCACCCUGUCUCAGUGCAUCCAUGCUGCUGCUGCACUGCUGUAUCCCUUCAGCUGGGCUCACACCUACAUUCCUGUUGUCCCCAAGAAGCUUCUUGACACUGUCUGCUGCCCCACCCCCUUCAUGGUUGGAGUACAAAUGCGCUUUCUGCAGGAGGUUAUGGACAGCCCAAUGGAAGAGGUCCUGUUGGUGAAUCUUUGUGAAGGAACAUUCUUAUUGUCACUUCAGAAGAAAUCAAUGAGCAAGUUUCAGGUCCUUUUGUGCAGUUCUUUGUCAAGACUGUGGGCCACUAUGCUUCCUAUAUCAAGCGGGAGGCAAAUGGACAAGGUCACUUCCAAGAACGGUCUUUCUGUAAGGCACUGACCUCCAAGACCAACCGUCGAUUUGUGAAGAAGUUUGUGAAGACACAGCUCUUCUCCCUUUUUAUCCAAGAAGCUGAGAAGAGCAAGAAUCCUCCUGCAGGCUACUUCCAAAAGAAAAUACUUGAAUAUGAGGAACAGAAGAAACAGAAAAAAAACAAGGGAAAAGACUGAUUUAAGAGCUGUGGUGAACAGGAAAGAGUAAGACCUAUAGGCCAGUUCUGGACUUUGGCACCCACCAGUAAUGGUAGGACCGGCAAAAUUCUCAGCCUCUAGAAUUCAAAGCUUCCUUCCAAGUCCUGAGUCCCAGUGGCUAGGUCUUGCAUCAAACUGGUAUCUGAGUUUAAGAUACUUGGUACCAACUUCCCCAGGACUUUUGAGGGCUUUGUCUCCAAACUCAAAGAAUAGGAUUUUAAAUGGCAUUCCCCCCCGCCCCCCAGAGGUGACACACAGCAGGAAACAGUAGUACUGGUAUUGGAGGUGCUUGGUUGAGAGGUACUGUAACUACCAUCUCCUGGGAACCACUAUUUGAAAAUCCUCAACAGCAAAAGCCCCAAAGUUUGGUUCCUUCAACAAAUAGAGGUCUAUGGACAUGUGAGGAUGUGAGUAAAGAUGCAAAUCUUAUUGCUUAUGUGGGGCAUGUGAGAAUAAACUGGACUAGAAGUGGGCUGUCUUUGGAGUCAGUAUCAUAUGGGUCAGCAGCUCUUUUUUUGACAUUGAAUAUUAAAUCUAGGGACUCUGCGUUGAACUUUGUCUUUUUCUUUGAGACAGGGUCUCACUAAGUUACAAAGUUGAGAUCCUACUGCUUCAUCCUCUGGAAUGCUGAGCUUUACCCAUGUGAGCUACUAUGCUAGGCUAGCAGCUCCACUUCCAUUAGGAAGGAGAAGAGAUCCUGGUAAAGGCGGAGGCAGCACCAGACACAGAGAAGCAGAGUCUUGUUCUCAAGAGAUUCUUCUUAAAUCUGAGGAGGAGAGGAUGCCAGCCAGAAUGAGGCAGCUACAGUCUAGGAUAACUUGAGGGGAAGAAUUGCAAGCUCCAGAAGCUACCUGGCUUUCAUAAAUAGGUUGCCUGCCUAUCACUCCCAGAUUGGACCAGUACUUUACCAUCAGUCUUACACAUCCUACCUCUAACAGCUUGUUAUUUUGAAAAGCCUAGUUAGGUCUUUUUCUAGCUAAAGGUUGAGGAAUCCUUGCCUUGACAUAUUUUUAACAAAACAAAACAAAACAAAACAAAACAAAACAACAAGAAACCCCCACCAGAAUAAUAACUUUAGAGUUCAAAAGGGUUUUGUGGUCACUGACUUCCUCUUCCUUCUACGCUGCCACUGACAGCUUCUGUUUAAACACUGCAAGACACAGGAAACAUUUUAAAAGGAUCUUCUUUUUCAAAAAUGCUACCUUUAAAAUGUGUUCGAGUGUGGUCCUCAGGUCUAACUUCCAUACCAGGAACAUUUUGGAGGGUAGAACAGGGCGAAAGGGGUUCCAAACUAAAGUUAAAGCCAGUGUGGUUUGAUUUAGAGACGUGGCACAUUCUACUGUUGACACCACCCAUUAACUAUGCUGCUAUUCUUGACAGCGUCAAAGAAUCAUACACCUUUUUAGGUUAAUUUAUCACUAGUUACUAAACCUAGUUUUUCCUCAAAAGGUUUUGGAACAGGAGCCAGAAUCUUAGGAAUCUUAUGAAAUACUGGGGACAGCAAACUAGUAGUUUUUAAAAACUUCUUUGGGUAAUUUUGAUAGUUGGUAAGAUAAAUAAACACAAGAAUCAGGGUUAGUUGAGACUUUCUACAAAUGUAUCCUGGAUCUGAUGCAAUAUCUAGCACUGGAGGAAGCACACACUGAAUAUUUGGUAUUUUCCCAGCUUCCCUUUAUUCUUAAAAAGAUUCUAGUAUACAUUUCAAUUAGUCUGCACAGUUUAGUUUGGCUUUCAGCUAUGUAUGGUGAAGGAGAAAACAGUGGACAUAGAUUCAGAAGAUCUGGAUUCUAGUCUCUAAUUUUAAAAAUAUCAGUACUGUGUGAGACUGGUAUACUAGUUAGCCCUCCCCACCUCAAUUUCUAUUGUAGGUAAUUAAUACCUGCUGAAUAUGGUAUAAUAAUCAAGUAAAACAACAGGUACAACUGUGUCCAGCAAGAUUUAUCCUUCCUUCUUUUCACUGCUUUGUCCUAGCUUUCUAAACUUGAACUGAUCCAGAACUUUCCUAUACUACAUGUUGGAGAGGUUGUUAGCAAGAAAAGGUAAUGAGAAAUUUUCUUUCCAUCUGCAGUCUGGCAAAGAAAUGAAAAAUUUAACUCUCGCUGUAAAUCCAGAUGUACACUGGAUUGUUAGAACCAUUAAAAGUGUAAGAAAUCAUGGUCCCUGAUGCAAGAUAAAGAGUGCAAUUACUAUUUAUUUGUGAUUAUGGAAGAUAAUAAUAAAAGUCAUUAAUAAGA